GUAGGGAAUAUUGCGCAAUGGACGAAAGUCUGACGCAGCGACGCCGCGUGAGUGAUGAAGGCCUUAGGGUCGUAAAGCUCUGUUGAAUGGGAAGAAAAAAAUGACGGUACCAUUCGAGGAAGGACCGGCUAACUUCGUGCCAGCAGCCGCGGUAAUACGAGGGGUCCUAGCGUUGUUCGGAAUCAUUGGGCGUAAAGGGUGUGUAGGUGGCCAUGUAAGUCAGGUGUGAAAGCCCCGGGCUCAACCCGGGAAGUGCACUGGAUACUGCGUGGCUUGAGUACCGAAGAGGGUAGUGGAAUUCCAGGUGUAGUGGUGAAAUACGUAGAUAUCAGGAGGAAUACCGGAGGCGAAGGCGGAUAGCUGGCCAGACACUGACACUCAGACCCGAAAGCGUGGGGAUCAAACAGGAUUAGAUACCCCGGUAGUCC
rnacentral:rRNA from 1 species